AUAGAGGCAUGUGGGGAGCAGUGUGGAAUGAAUCAGAAUCAAAAACAAUUAUAUUUUAAAUGAAAAGCCAAGUAGAAGCCAUUAAUAUUUGAUGAUUCCUAUGCAGUUUCUGGCAGCCGUGGAGUUAAAUUUGAAGCGGCAUAAUGAGCACGUGUCGCCCAAAAGUGGGCCAGGUCCUGGUAGCAGGAUGGCAUAGUGGCAGGGUGGCAGGGUGGCCGAGACGGGGUAACAAGGACAUGAGAUUGUUGGCCCGGGAAAGCGUUCGUGCGAAAUGGAAACAGAAGCUAUGAAAGGCACGAAGCGGCUCAAGAUAGACACCCCUUGCCUGGCCGACACAUGGAAUCAAGGAAAACGCUGUUUAAGAAUCCUUCUUCCUUCACACACACACACACACACAUACAGUUUACAAGUUGACUGCACUCUCAGAAAACACUAAAAAAAAAUAUAUUUUUUUUUUUUGACUAAAAAUGGGAUUGAAGUUCAACUGAAGUAAAAAAAUAUUUUUAGUUAAAAUUUGGAUUUUUUUAAGCUUUAAAAUUUGUUAAUAAAAACUCAUAAAUUUCUUCCAGUGCUGGCGCAUAACGAAGCAAUCGAAAUGCAUUUGAAUCCAAGGGAUACAGGAGCGGGAAAAUGGAAGAUUGAAGCCACAGCUGCUGCAAAGGAAAAACCACCAAGGGUGUGAGUGUGAGUGAUUUCGGGUCUUGGUAUUUGGGUAAGCAGUAAAAAAAGGCUCAGGCACACGAACUGAACCGACCCCAAAAAAAAAGAGCCAGCACUCACCACACAAAACGAUUUACAAGACACUAAAGCGGUGGAGAAAAAGGAAAAAAUAUCCUCUGGAAAAUAGAGAUGAGACACGGCAGGGAAGUAGGUGUUGAGAUCUCGGGAUUAGGAAUUCUUUUUCGUAAAAUGUUAAAAAAAAAAACUUAUAAAAAUAAGCUUUAGAUAAUUUUCUAGAAAAAUAAAAGCUUAAAUUUAUAAACAAUCACACUUGUUUAGAAAAAUAAGUUUAAUUUCAAGUUUCAAGCAAAAUUUAAACUUCAAAACUUUUGAAAACACUUCAAUAAUUAACCGUUAGGUUGGGGGAGCUUAUGCUCAUCUCUAGAAAACAAAGAAAUCAGGAAAAGGAAAAAAAUAUCCUCUGGAAAAUAGAGAUGGCAGGGAAAUAGGUGUUGAGAUCUCGGGAUUAGGAAUUCUUUCUCGUUUGUUUGAAAAUUUAAAAAAAAAUACCUACAAAAAUAAGGUUUAGAUAAUUUCAAAGAAAAAUUAAAGCUUAUAGUUUUAAAAAAAAAAAUAGUUUUAAUUCAAAUUUUCAACCAAAAAUUUUAGACUUAAAAUACCGUUACUUUUGAAAACACUCCAAUAAUUAACCGUUAGGAUGGGGGAGCUUAUGCUCAUCUCUAGAAAACAAAAAAAAAAUCAGGCAAACUAAAGGUGUGUCAUCUGGCAAGUUGGAUGGGGAGAGGGGGAAACAACACCAACAACAACAAGAAGAAUAAGAACAACAACAACCACAGGAAGCAACAACUACUGUAAGAAUCGCGCUGAGGCCGCGGCCAGAGGAGACAAGUAUCUCAGGAAGGGGCUGGAGCGGAAGCCGCAACGCGAGCAGCGCGUAAGCAAUUGGACAGAGUCCACAUGGCAGGGCAGGGCACACCUGGAGCAGAGCCGGCUUCUGCCGGACGGGCGAAGAAGUCCCCAAAAAAAUAAAGAAACUAAUGUUCUCGCAUUUGGCAAAAAAUCAAUUUUUUUCUUCUUGUGAUUGCCAAAUGCAAGUCGCAGGGGGCAGGACAUGCAAAGAUGAAAAAAAGGACCAAUCUGACACGCUUUGGGGCAACACCUUCACGCAGUUGCGGUGUCUUGUAUUUCGGCAGUCCUUUCGGCCUGGCCUGCUAAUUAUUGACAUAACAAAUGUGGAGCUCCCAUCACGCCUUCCUCAGAAGCCAGAAGCCCCCGAAAAAAAAGGGAAAAUAUUCACUUGGCCCGGAUGACGACAGGGCCGAGGAGCCGAAGAGCCGUAAUUUGCCACGUUUUGUUUCGCUCCUCUCACGCACACACCGACACACACACACACACACACGAACACACGGCACACGUCAAUCACCUCUGGUAUUUGCCAACAACAACAGCAGGAACAACAACAACGUUUCUCGGCACCCUGUUAGGCCCCAUUAACAACAACAAAUAAAACAACAAAAGCUUAUUCUUCUGUCAGAGAACAACAACGGUGCGUAUCAGUGAUGCUUUUAUUGGGUGGGCCCUGUGGAGGAGCAUUCGUUAGUGCACGAGGCGCCCUGUUAGCUUGAGCGAUACCCACGACAGGUUGCAGGUAUCCAAAAGUAACGAGUCACAGUCACGAGUUUCAGAUACUUUUUUGAGUUUUCAUUUUCAUCAAUUCAAUUUGAUUAAUAUUUUAAGUUUUUGAAGUUAAAUUAAUUAAAUUAAAUCUUUACAUCUUUGAAAUAUAU